rnacentral:rRNA from 1 species
AUUGAACGCUGGCGGCAGGCCUAACACAUGCAAGUCGAACGAGCGGCGGACGGGUGAGUAAUGUCUGGGAAACUGCCCGAUGGAGGGGGAUAACUACUGGAACCGGUAGCUAAUACCGCAUACCAUCGGAUGUGCCCCGAUGGGAUUAGCUAGUAGGUGGGGUAACGGCUCACCUAGGCGACGAUCCCUAGCUGGUCUGAGAGGAUGACCAGCCACACUGGGACUGAGACACGGUCCAGACUCCUACGGGAGGCAGCAGUGGGGAAUAUUGCACAAUGGGCGAAAGCCUGAUGCAGCCAUGCCGCGUGUAUGAAGAAGGCCUUCGGGUUGUAAAGUACUGUCAGCGGGGAGGCGUUACCCGAAGAAAAAGCACCGGCUAACUACGUGCCAGCAGCCGCGGUAAUUC